GUCCACUGUGGCUUCGGAAUGGGAUGAGGGUGUACUGAAGGCAAAAAAAAAGUUUACCACGAGGCUGGAUCUUGUCCCGUUUAUUAUUUUCUUCCUCGUGCCAGUUAUCUGCAGAGUAAGCUUGUAUUUUCUGAGGGCUUCCAGCCUUUGUCGGAGCCUCAUUCUGUGUAGCUCAGUGUCCUGGACUUGGAAGACCUUUGGCAACAUCGUGGCUCUCUCACAUCCCUAGGUGGGCCAGGCAGAUGGGGGGAAUGGAUUAAAAGGUGUGUCCACGGUGCAGAGCUCGGAGCAAUCCCGAGCUUCUUCAAGCUGGCAGAUCCGGACCUGAUACUCGCUUCGAUCUCAGAAGGAACAGGAACUGCACUAAGAACCAA
rnacentral:lncRNA from 1 species